UCAUGUCNGCCGGGUCGCUGUUGAGCGUACNCUGCCCGUCUUGAAACACGGAAAAUGAAUAUGGCAGUAUAGUUUAUAUUUGAACUAGGCGUAAUAAUAAUAAAGUCGCUGAGUUUAUCAUAUUUGUACUUGCCUGAACCCACCCAUUAUUAAAUCGGGUAACCUCAAAUCAGGUAGGGAUACCCGCUGAACUUAAGCAUAUCAAUAAGCGGAGGAAAAGAAACCAACAGGGAUUGCCCUAGUAACGGCGAGUGAAGCGGCAAAAGCUCAGAUUUGGAAUCUGGCGUCAUUGUGGCGUCCGAGUUGUAGUCUGAAGAGGGGAAUUCAAGUGUAGCUUUGGCUUAAGUUCCUUGGAACAGGACGUCAUAGAGGGUGAGAACCCCGUUAAUGGCCUUUGUCUUAUGCUUAUGUGAAUCUCCUUCAAUGAGUCNAGUUGUUUGGGAAUGCAGCUCUAAAUGGGUGGUAAAUUCCAUCUAAAGCUAAAUACUGGCAAGAGACCGAUAGCGCACAAGUANAGUGAUCGAAAGAUGAAAAGAACUCUGAACAGAGAGUUAAAUAGUACGUGAAAUUGUUGAAAGGGAAGCACUUGUAACCAGACAUGCUUGCAGCUGAUCAAUUCUGAUUUUUGAGGAUGCACUCAGUUGUUAGCGAGCCAACAUCAGUCAUGGUGACAGGAAAAAGACCAAGGAAAGGUANCUCCUUUCGGGGAGUGUUAUAGUCCUGGGUGUAAUGCUGCCUACUAUGAUUGAGGACCGCGCUUUGGCGAGGAUGUUGGCAUAAUGGUUUUAAGUGACCCGUCUUGGAAACACGGA
rnacentral:rRNA from 1 species